AACGAACGCUGGCGGCAGGCCUAACACAUGCAAGUCGAGGGGGAAGCUAUUUUCGGAUAGUGGAGACCGGCGCACGGGUGAGUAACGCGUGGGAACCUACCCUGGGGUGGGGGAUAACCGCUGGAAACGGCGGCUAAUACCGCAUACGCCUUGAGAGGGAAAGAUUUAUCGCCCUGGGACGGGCCCGCGUUGGAUUAGCUUGUUGGUGAGGUAAAGGCUCACCAAGGCUGCGAUCCAUAGCUGGUCUGAGAGGAUGAUCAGCCACACUGGGACUGAGACACGGCCCAGACUCCUACGGGAGGCAGCAGUGGGGAAUAUUGGACAAUGGGGGCAACCCUGAUCCAGCCAUGCCGCGUGCGUGAAGAAGGCCUUAGGGUUGUAAAGCGCUUUCACCGGUGAAGAUGAUGACGGUAGCCGGAGAAGAAGCCCCGGCUAACUCCGUG
rnacentral:rRNA from 1 species